UACGUAGGUCCCGAGCGUUGUCCGGAUUUAUUGGGCGUAAAGCGAGCGCAGGUGGUUUAUUAAGUCUGGUGUAAAAGGCAGUGGCCCAACCAUUGUAUGCAUUGGAAGCUGGUAGACUUGAGUGCAGGAGAGGAGAGUGGAAUUCCAUGUGUAGCGGUGAAAUGCGUAGAUAUAUGGAGGAACACCGGUGGCGAAAGCGGCUCUCUGGCCUGUAACUGACACUGAGGCUCGAAAGCGUGGGGAGCAAACAGG
rnacentral:rRNA from 1 species